CCAACAGAGGAAGCAAAACGUUCGAUAUCUACGAGUAUUAUUUAUGUGUCUAUUUAAUAGAUUGUAUAUGUGUGUUCUGUUAUUUUUUUCAUACCCAGUGAACUAUUAGUGACAUUUUGAAUUUAUAUGUUUCAAAAAAUUAUCAUCAAAUUAAAAUUAUGAAUGUCCAAAAAAUACAUGGUACCUACACAGUACACAUCAUGUUGCCAAAUUUCCCAAAUAUUUUUUUUUCAUAAUUAUUUUUUUAAAAAGUGCCAGACAUAAAAAACACUGCGCCAUGCCAUAUCUAUUAAAUUCCAAGCAGAUGCCAGACAACGCACGUCCUUUCAAUCUUUAAAUGAAAAGGAUAUGUUUUAAUGGAAGCCUAUAAGACUAUUUUUGUACCAGAAACGAGUAAAACAAACUUUUAGGAACCGCAAGGUAUGACAUAGUCAUAAACGAAAAAAAUGUUAUCUGUUAAACAUUCAAGGUAAUAAAUAGCGACCUUGCCCUUCGCCAUUGCAAUAUUUCAAUCAAAAGACAUCAUUCAAGCGGAAGAAUUCGCACGCCAACGUCUGCGUCUCCAUUCUCCAAUCUGAAUUCGUCUUGAAACCGAAACCGAAACAGCCGCCGAAUACCUACUGGAUAUUUUUUGACCUAGGUACUUCUAUAUGGCAAAUGACGAAAAUGGAAAUCAGUUGGUGAAGUGAUUGUGGUUCUGUUGUAUGUUUUGUCGCGAAUUUUUUCUACUGUUUUACACCUAGAUACUUACCUAUUUAUGUUUGUAAGCAAAUGAGAAAACUGUGUGGUGUACUUAUCAUCAGGCCGCGUAGUUGAUCCACUGGUGCGGUUUAGUUCGGUUUUUGGUGCAGUGAUUCGUCCGUAUUUGCGAGCGAAAUGUGAUUACACCACGUGCGCGCGUGUAUAGUUCUGGUCGGUCUCGCUGGUGCGUUUGUGUGUGCGUGCGUGGCUGACAUCGCGAUGUUUUCGUUGUCUUGGUGGUCGUAUAUUCGAGAAAGAAAAAAAAAAGGAAUAACGAGGAGAGGUCGAUAAACAACGUAUAGGAAUUGUGGAAACCUCAGAGGGUAAUACGAUAUAUAUAGCGGGAGACUGGCUGGCGUGGCGGUGAAUUUAUAAUGAAGUACGCGAACAACCGCGUUGGUUGGGGCAAGGCGAGCUUUGGCUGGGGCAGAGGCAGGGGGGGUGAACACGCUGCGGAGAUUCAUUUGAAUAAUCUUCUCUGUCUUGUAUUGGUAUCUCUCUUCUCUCUGGGUAGAAAAACGAAACCAUUUCCUAGGCUGGUGUAAUUUAUUCGAGUAUUAAUUUCUUCUAUGUGGUCCUCGCAGCGCGCUCAUGGCGCAGAUGGAACGAAUUGGAAAAGUUUAUAGUAAUCGAGAACGCAAAUAUUUCAAAAGAUUCGAAGAUAAGCCUAUUAAUUAUUUAAGAAUUAGUAAUAUGUAGUAGUUUCCACAAUUCUUAUAACGUUUCUUUUACCGCAUCCUCCGCCUCGUCUCGUCAACUUCCACCUCAUCUCACUCGCAUCGUCCCAUCGAGUACUUGAAAAUAGAUGAUAGUAUUGCUGCCGACAAUCAUACUCAAUACAGGUAUUUCAGUAGGACAAGCAGUAAUGAAAUGGCCAGUCUAACAGAUUCGAUGCCUACAUUCGUGAAAAAGAAAACCGGCCGAAGAUCUCAUUACGAAAGCUCUCAAGAUUACCGGUACAUUAAAUGUUGCAAAAACAGCACUAAAACGCCGUAAUUUCCAAACAAUCAAUCAUCCGACUCACAGGCCGAAAAUUUUCUCCAAAAUGGGCACCCAACUUGCGAAAAAUUUCCAUAGUUUCAAAAAUAUAUUCAAAGAUGAAGAAUUAGCCUAGCUAUUGGUGCCUUUCACGCCAGAGAAAAUGGUAAAAAAUAAUUCAAUAGCCUGGUUCAAACAAUCGUUUAUUUGGUAUUCGGAUUCAAUUACAUGAG